rnacentral:misc_RNA from 1 species
UAAUAAGUGUUUUAUGGCACUUUUUAAAUCCAUAUCCACCUUGUGUGCAAUGUCAGUCGAUCUUCUUUCUUGAGAUCGACCAAACAUCAACCUUUAUUUUUAACUCUUUGUCUGAAAAAUAUUAUGAAUAAACAAUUCAAAAUA